rnacentral:rRNA from 1 species
UAGGGAAUCUUCGGCAAUGGGGGGAACCCUGACCGAGCAACGCCGCGUGAGUGAAGAAGGUUUUCGGAUCGUAAAGCUCUUUUGUUAAGGAAGAACGAGUGUGAGAAUGGAAAGUUCAUGCUGUGACGGUACUUAACCAGAAAGGGACGGCUAACUACGUGCCAGCAGCCGCGGUAAUACGUAGGUCCCGAGCGUUGUCCGGAUUUAUUGGGCGUAAAGCGCGCGCAGGUGGUUUAGAAAGUCUGAUGUGAAAGCCCACGGCUCAACCGUGGAGGGUCAUUGGAAACUAAUAAACUUGAGUGCAGGAGAGAAAAGUGGAAUUCCUGGGGUAGCGGUGAAAUGCGUAGAGAUUAGGAGGAACACCGGUGGCGAAAGCGGCUUUUUGGCCUGCAACUGACACUGAGGCGCGAAAGCGUGGGGAGCAAACAGG